rnacentral:rRNA from 1 species
UAGGGUUCGAUUAUGGCUCAGAUUGAACGCUGGCGGCAGGCCUAAGACAUGCAAGUCGAGCGAGAAAGCCCUUCGGGGUGAGUACAGCGGCGGACGGGUGAGUAACGCGUAGGAAUCUACCCAGUAGUGGGGGACAACUAGUGGAAACGCUAGCUAAUACCGCAUACGCCCUAAGGGGGAAAGCGGGGGAUCUUCGGACCUCGUGCUAUUGGAUGAGCCUGCGUAAGAUUAGCUUGUUGGUGAGGUAAUGGCUCACCAAGGCUACGAUCUUUAGCUGGUCUGAGAGGAUGAUCAGCCACACCGGGACUGAGACACGGCCCGGACUCCUACGGGAGGCAGCAGUCGGGAAUAUUGCGCAAUGGGGGAAACCCUGACGCAGCCAUGCCGCGUGUGUGAGGAAGGCCCUAGGGUUGUAAAGCACUUUCAAUUGGGAGGAAAAGCUAAUGGUUAAUAGCCAUUAGCCCUGACGUUACCUUUAGAAGAAGCACCGGCUAACUCCGUGCCAGCAGCCGCGGUAAUACGGAGGGUGCAAGCGUUAAUCGGAAUUACUGGGCGUAAAGCGCGCGUAGGCGGCUCUUUAAGUCGGAUGUGAAAGCCCCGGGCUCAACCUGGGAACUGCAUCCGAUACUGGAGGGCUAGAGUGUAGGAGAGGGAGGUAGAAUUCCAUGUGUAGCA